CCACAAUCCGGAUGCUGAGAAAGAGUUUCCAACGCCAUAAUUGCAACGCCAGCUUUAAGCGGUAGCAUUUCAGGACGAUCGUGAGAUCCACCUUCAGGGAAUAGAGCAAUGCAUGCACCCUUCACCAGACGUCUACGGACUUCAUUAUAAACAUAUGUUUGAUCAAUCUCAGGAGCCACCUUGUAAGACGACCCUUCGGGAGAAAGCAAAACUCUCUCAGCAUCUUCUCCACGAAACUCACGUUUAACAUAUAAUAAGGUAUCACUUUUAAUGGAUGCUAUAUGAGAACUUCCAUAAUUAUUAGGAAGAAGGAGAGUAUCACCGACUGAAUGCUUUGUAAACAGAGUAUCUUUUCCGUGAAUAGCAGUCUUAUCACCUUCAGCUACGACAAAUAUCUUUCCUUCUCCGCGAAUAGCUAAAUCUUGCGCCCUUUCGACAGGAAUUGCACCAAAAGCUCUCGACAUGAGGCCAAUAAAUCUUUGACGAUAACUUUUAGCAGCAACCAAAAUGGAAGUCCUCCUACCUACUUCUCUACGAAGUUGUAACAUCAAAAUCAAAGGAUCUACGAAUUGGUUCGCAUGCGGCGCGGCCACUAAAAUUAGAGGUCCCUUGCGAGGAACUCUAAAAGAGCCUCGCGUUUUAACUUCACGGAAAAAGAAAUCGAUUAAAACUGGGGUUCAUUAAUUAGCGUUCCGGUUGUAACUAAAUGAUAAGUAACUUACUUGAUAAAAUCCAUAAGCACGUAUCAUAAAUA